rnacentral:rRNA from 1 species
GACGAACACUGGCGGCGUGCUUAACACAUGCAAGUCGAGCGAGGCCCUCCUUCGGGAGGUGUCCUAGCGGCGAACGGGUGAGUAACACGUGGGCAACCUGCCCUCAGCUCUGGGAUAACCCCAAGAAAUUGGGGCUAAUACCGGAUACGACCGCUGACCGCAUGGUCUGGUGGUGGAAAGAUUUAUCGGCUGGGGAUGGGCCCGCGGCCUAUCAGCUUGUUGGUGGGGUAGUGGCCUACCAAGGCGACGACGGGUAGCCGGCCUGAGAGGGUGACCGGCCACACUGGGACUGAGACACGGCCCAGACUCCUACGGGAGGCAGCAGUGGGGAAUAUUGCGCAAUGGGCGGAAGCCUGACGCAGCGACGCCGCGUGGGGGAUGACGGCCUUCGGGUUGUAAACCUCUUUCAGCAGGGACGAAGCGAAAGUGACGGUACCUGCAGAAGAAGCACCGGCCAACUACGUGCCAGCAGCCGCCGCGGUAA